ACACCUAUCGCGCGCGAGGAGGGUGCCGUUCGAAAAGGUCGGCGCCGCGCGCGUGCGGCGUCGUCGCCUGUGCAAACGAUUCAGCUGAUCGAGGGGGGAGCAGCAGCCACGUCCGGAUAAUCGGCUCGUCGCCAAAUUGAAUUAGUUUCACGAGAAGCGAUCAAGAUCGCGCGUCAAGUGUACGGUUUUUGGAGGAACGAUCGAGGAGAGGAAGCUCGAGGGAGAAGCCGAGCGCGCUCGCGAGAAGCGGGGAAAUUAGUGAAAUUUUCGGGAACGGUGCGGAAGAAACUGCGACGUAAAGAGGCGAAAACUGAGAGAGGUGGCAAUCCUUCUGGGAUGUCGGCGUACGGUGGGUGGAGUCUGCGGCCGGCGAGGACGCGUUUUCGACACCUGACAAAAUCGCCGACGAUCCGUCGCGGCUGAGAUCCGCCGUCCACGCCGGAUUGAUUUCGAGGGCGUUAUCACGGCGCGGAGCUCUUUCGGGCGAUUCGACGCCUCCUCGACACACCGUCUGUCGACGGAAAGGGAAUCUCUCGGUGUUGAGCGUCGCGUUAAGCGGCGCCGAGUAAUCCGGAAUUGUUCUCGGGGGAUUCGGAAAAAGGUGCAGCAGCCAUGGACUGGAGGGGGUUCGCGCUGGCAUUUCUGGUGAUCACAAUAACGAGGCACAGCGGUAGCAGCACACACGCAGCCCAGAUACCUCAACAGCCGCCGACGU